UACGUAGGGCGCAAGCGUUGUCCGGAAUUAUUGGGCGUAAAGAGCUCGUAGGCGGCUUGUCGCGUCGGAUGUGAAAGCCCGGGGCUUAACCCCGGGUCUGCAUUCGAUACGGGCAGGCUAGAGUUCGGUAGGGGAGAUCGGAAUUCCUGGUGUAGCGGUGAAAUGCGCAGAUAUCAGGAGGAACACCGGUGGCGAAGGCGGAUCUCUGGGCCGACACUGACGCUGAGGCGCGAAAGCCAGGGGAGCGAACGGG
rnacentral:rRNA from 1 species